AAUGAACGUUGGCGGCGUGGAUUAGGCAUGCAAGUCGAGCGAGAACCCGCAAGGGGGACAGCGGCAAACGGGGUAGUAAUGUGUCGGAACGUGCCCAGAGGACGGGGAUAGCGGCGGGAAACUGCCGGUAAUACCCGAUGACCUCGAGAGAGCAAAGGUGUGAUUCCGCCUUUGGAGCGGCCGACAUGGUAUUAGCUAGUUGGUGGGGUAACGGCCCACCAAGGCUUUGAUGCCUAGGGGAUGUGAGAGCAUGAUCCCCACCAUUGGGACUGAGACACUGCCCAGACACCUACGGGUGGCUGCAGUCGAGAAUCUUCGUCAAUGGGCGAAAGCCUGAACGAGCGACGCCGCGUGCGGGAUGAAGGCCCUUGGGUUGUAAACCGCUGUCGAGGGGGAUGAAGGUAUUCAGGUACUCCUGAAUAUUUGACAGAGCCCUGGAGGAAGCACGGGCUAAGUUCGUGCCAGCAGCCGCCGUAAGAC
rnacentral:rRNA from 1 species